AAACUUAGUCUCAGUUCGGAUUGUAGGCUGAAACUCGCCUACAUGAAGCUGGAGUUGCUAGUAAUCGCGAAUCAGCAUGUCGCGGUGAAUACGUUCCCGGGCCUUGUACACACCGCCCGUCACACCAUGAGAGUUGGCAAUACCCAACGUACGUGAUCUAACCCGCAAGGGAGGAAGCGUCCUAAGGUAGGGUCAGCGAUUGGGGUGAAGUCGUAACAAGGUAGC
rnacentral:rRNA from 1 species